AGUGAACGCUGGCGGUAGGCCUAACACAUACAAGUCGAACGGCAGCACAGUAAGAGCUUGCUCUUACGGGUGGCGAGUGGCGGACGGGUGAGGAAUACAUCGGAAUCUACUUUUUCGUGGGGGAUAACGUAGGGAAACUUACGCUAAUACCGCAUACGACCUACGGGUGAAAGCAGGGGAUCUUCGGACCUUGCGCGAUUGAAUGAGCCGAUGUCGGAUUAGCUAGUUGGCGGGGUAAAGGCCCACCAAGGCGACGAUCCGUAGCUGGUCUGAGAGGAUGAUCAGCCACACUGGAACUGAGACACGGUCCAGACUCCUACGGGAGGCAGCAGUGGGGAAUAUUCGACAAUGGGCGCAAGCCUGAUCCAGCCAUACCGCGUGGGUGAAGAAGGCCUUCGGGUUGUAAAGCCCUUUUGUUGGGAAAGAAAAGCAGCAGGUUAAUACCCCGCUGUUCUGACGGUACCCAAAGAAUAAGCACCGGCUAACUUCGUG
rnacentral:rRNA from 1 species